ACCCUGCUCGAGUAAGCACUAGGGAGGGGUCCGUGGGAAUGGUCUGUCGGCCAGGGUAGGCCUCAGAUCAUUUCCCGAGAAGCUCAGGAAAGUUCCUAUCGGCUGUUCAGAGCCUAGCACGUUCGGGUUUCAUGGGUUGUGAAAUAGAAAACCAUGCACAGGAAAGAAGUUGACCACACCCUGCGGUUGUCUCUAGUUAAUUCAAUCCCGGAUCUGUUUGCUCUCCAUUUGCAGAGACCGUCCUGACUCGAGGCCACCAAGCUUCCCCACCUGACCUUCCUGCCACUCUCCUUGUCCUUCCGACCCAUUCCCGGUGUGGCCGCCCUGCCCUGAUGGCAGCUACUCCUACUUAGAGCCUCUAGAAGGAUGCCAAGUCUAGGAGAUCCCGGUCUAGGUUUCCCUGGGCCACCAAGGCCCCGAACCAUCUAGGCACCGCAUCCUCUGCAGAGCGCUCUGGUACCCAAGCAGCCAGAGGAACCACAUGCUAAAAGACCCCACUUUAGGAGCAGACCAAACCUCACCACCACUCAGGAACACUAUUGUCACACUGCCGUCCUACUUAGCGCUUCUGCUUCUCGGGUCCUCCGAGGGGCAUGUUCUCCUCCCUAGCUCCCUCCUCUGAGAGGCGCUUCCUCACCUCCACCUGAUCAUGCCCCCUGCAUAGAUGUGCCGUGUUUGUCCAUCUCCAGUCACUCCCCCUCCCUUCCAGCCCCCCAGUCACCACCUCCACACAGUUCCCUUUACGGCAGAGUCCUCCCACGUGCACGUCCACAGUCUGCCCACUUCGCUUCCAGCCCCGCAUUCUUACCAAAUUCAUGAAUGACCGGCAUUUUGAAAACCGAGACGUUAUCACAGAUUUGAUUAGCCUAGCAACAGCAUCUGCCACGGCCGAUCAUGGCCCUCACUUUCCUUUGUUUCUAGAACUUCCUCUGGCUUUCUAUUUCUCUGGAAAUCUCCCCUCAGACUCCUUUGCUAUAUCUUACAGAACAAUGUUCUCAAACUUUAGCCUGCUUCAGAAUCACCUGGAGGGCUUGUGAAAACACAAUGCACUGUGUGUCCCCGCCCUUUAAAAAUUUUUUUUAACUUAUAAAAAAUAAAUUCUACCCUCAACGUGUGACUUGAACUCAACCCCACAGUCAAGAAUCACAUGCUCUACAGGCUAAACCAGCCAGGCACUGUAUUCUUGGCUUUAAUUUUUAAGGGGCAUCUGGGUGGCUCAACCUGUUAAGCAUCCAACUCUUGAUCUCAGCUCAUGAUCUCUGGGUCAUGUGCUCGGGCCUCACAUUGGGCUCCACACUGGGCGUGGAGCCUACUUAAAUUUUAUUUUUAUGUAAUCUCUACAUCCAACAUGGGGCUCUAACUCAAGAUCCUGAGAUCAAGAGUCCUAUGCUCUUCUGAUGGAGCCAGCCAGGCACCCCCUAAGUUUUUUGUUUCGUUUUUGAGUGGAAAACCCAACAGUUUGAUAUGGGUGAUGAGCUACAACAUCUUUAGCAAGCUAUACAAGUCACUGCCUCCAUUAUUGGCACCCAACGGGCCACACUGGGCUAGAGCAUCCCUGUGGCUGAACCAGGCUUAGACCCAUGGGUCUAAGGCUCACUCCCAGCCCACAUGUGGAAGGACCACAUACAACCAACCUGGGCUGCCUCUCGUGGGUGGUCCCACAUCACUUCCAAGUUCAGCUGUGGUCUGCAGAAGAGACGGAGCAGAAGACUGAGCGAGGGCCCCUGAGCGCAGAGCUAGACACGGACUUCAUCAAUUCUGAUUGUAUCGGAGCUGUUGGACUUCAAAGACACCAUGUAAGCCGGUCUUUGGGCCCGCGCCCUUCCCCAGGCAGCCUCACCUUAGCCUGCUUGUCACUCGUCAUCUCGACCUGCCCACUGCGGUAGAUGUCCACAUCCAGGGAGACCACUGAAACAAGAGGGAAAGUUUCCGCCACCCAGACCUGCUGGACGGAGCCUCGAAGUGCCAGAGCUUGUCUCCUGAUGUGCUCCGUCCCAACUGGAAUGCCAUGGCCAGAAGAACAGACCACAGUCACUGCAUGUACUUUGCCCCUGCACGGAUGCUCAGGGACCAGAUCCCUGCUACAAACCAG